rnacentral:rRNA from 1 species
UACAGAGGUCCCGAGCGUUGUUCGGAUUCAUUGGGCGUAAAGGGCGCGUAGGCGGCCUUCUAAGUCGAACGUGAAAUCCCCGGGCUCAACCCGGGAACUGCGUCCGAUACUGGAAGGCUUGAAUCCGGGAGAGGGAUGCGGAAUUCCAGGUGUAGCGGUGAAAUGCGUAGAUAUCUGGAGGAACACCGGUGGCGAAGGCGGCAUCCUGGACCGGCAUUGACGCUGAGGCGCGAAAGCCAGGGGAGCAAACGGG